AAAAAAAAAAUCUUACACCCCAAACUAAUAAAAAUAAAAGUCCAAAAUAAAGAAAAAAAGGAAGUUAUUACAACACGUUACAAAACACAAGCUAAAACUAAGUACAAAAACUUCUGUCAUCAUUCGUUUUGUCGCUACUCGCAAAGGGGCUGCCAUCUGGAACACGACAAAAAAGGAAGCUUCGAUUCAAAGGUAAUCAUUCAAACAUUCCU
rnacentral:lncRNA from 1 species